UCUCUUUUACUAUAUAACAAAAUGACUGAAAAUUCAGUUUUAAUAAACUUUAAAAGUUGAGAAACUUAGAGAUUUCAUAUUAAGUAAAAUUCAAUUCAAAUGUGAAAUUAUUUU
rnacentral:antisense_RNA from 1 species